GACGAACGCUGGCGGCGUGCCUAAUACAUGCAAGUAGAACGCUGAAGAGAGGAGCUUGCUCUUCUUGGAUGAGUUGCGAACGGGUGAGUAACGCGUAGGUAACCUGCCUUGUAGCGGGGGAUAACUAUUGGAAACGAUAGCUAAUACCGCAUAACAAUGGAUGACACAUGUCAUUUAUUUGAAAGGGGCAAUUGCUCCACUACAAGAUGGACCUGCGUUGUAUUAGCUAGUAGGUGAGGUAACGGCUCACCUAGGCGACGAUACAUAGCCGACCUGAGAGGGUGAUCGGCCACACUGGGACUGAGACACGGCCCAGACUCCUACGGGAGGCAGCAGUAGGGAAUCUUCGGCAAUGGGGGCAACCCUGACCGAGCAACGCCGCGUGAGUGAAGAAGGUUUUCGGAUCGUAAAGCUCUGUUGUAAGUCAAGAACGAGUGUGAGAGCGGAAAGUUCACACUGUGACGGUAGCUUACCAGAAAGGGGCGGCUAACUACGUGCCAGCAGCCGCGGUAAUACGUAGGUCCCGAGCGUUGUCCGGAUUUAUUGGGCGUAAAGCGAGCGCAGGCGGUUUGAUAAGUCUGAAGUUAAAGGCUGUGGCUCAACCAUAGUUCGCUUUGGAAACUGUCAAACUUGAGUGCAGAAGGGGAGAGUGGAAUUCCAUGUGUAGCGGUGAAAUGCGUAGAUAUAUGGAGGAACACCGGUGGCGAAAGCGGCUCUCUGGUCUGUAACUGACGCUGAGGCUCGAAAGCGUGGGGAGCGAACAGG
rnacentral:rRNA from 1 species